AUGAGUUGUCCUGCGGUGUUUAAAGAAGAACACAUGAAAGAAGGAAGAAGAGUCGCUUUGUUGUUGUCGUGUUGAAACCUAAGAUGUGUGACUCAGACAGGUGAGAGAGAUGCAACAUGGGCAGCAAUGGAUCAAAGUGUGAAUCGAGCAGGUCAAACAGUCAGCUGUCAUGUCAAAAAGCAGCCUGCAUCGUUUCAGUAUGCAGAGAACCCAGAG